UACGUAGGGGGCAAGCGUUGUCCGGAUUUAUUGGGCGUAAAGAGCUCGUAGGCGGUUUGGUAAGUCAGGUGUGAAAUCUCCACGCUCAACGUGGAGGGGCCACCUGAUACUGCCAUGACUGGAGUCCGGUAAAGGAGUGUGGAAUUCCCGGUGUAGCGGUGAAAUGCGCAGAUAUCGGGAGGAACACCCGUAGCGAAGGCGGCACUCUGGGCCGGUACUGACGCUGAGGAGCGAAAGCGUGGGGAGCAAACAGG
rnacentral:rRNA from 1 species